rfam:Salmo salar isolate Sally breed double haploid chromosome ssa01, whole genome shotgun sequence.
UAUACUCACUACUGUAAGUCGCUCUGGAAAAGAGCGUCUGCUAACUGACGUAAA